CCAUCUCAAGCCUGCUCAAUUUCUGAUAUUUAAUCCUGGCCAUUCGUAUCUGAGCGUUUGUUUUCCACCUUUCGUCUGGAAGUUUCGUUCUGUAGAUGACAUCACGGUUUGCGUUGAAGAAGUAUGGGAUGAAGGAGAAGAGUGUUUCCUUGGUUGUUGUCUGCGAUUGAUCUGCAUUGUUGCAGUCCCCGUCAGUGUAGCAGAAGUUAGGUUAAGUGUAGUUUGAGAUUUGAGAUUUGAGAAGACAGAAGAGAGGAGAUUUGGAAAUUUGGAGGAAGGAGGAGGACUAAAUUUUAGGUUUGACACCUGUAUUGAUAUGGGUUGUUCGAAAAUUUCGUCAUUGUGACAUAUGUUUCUUGAAGACUUCUUCUGUUAGGUGGAAAUCAGAGGGAGGAUAAUAGAUUUUUGAAGAAAAUGGUUCAUUUGUGCACUGUUCGUCGUCAGUAUAAGAGGUGUAUCAGAAGCCAUAGAUGUUGUCUGCUUCGUCAGCUGAUUGUUGGUAUGUUAGUUUAUUUCCAGAGGUUUGGUAUAUAUGCACAGUGUUCCAGCUAUUUUGUUGUUGGCAAGCAUUUGAAUUUUUAUUUCAAUGUAGUUGUACUCUUUUCUCAUUUGUAGCUGUCUAUAAAUACCUCUAUUGUGUGUUAUUCCUGGUGUUCUUAGUCUAACCUCUUUUCUUUCUAUGUUGUCUCUAUUUCUCUAUUCUCUAUAUUGCUGGUAAUUUUAGUUACUCAUGGCGUUUACUACAUGUCCUUUCCAUCCCCUUCGAAUUUUAAGUACUGGCAAAGAUACAUGGAUAGUUAAGGUUCAUGUUCUUCAUCAGUGGGAGAUGUUUCCUGUUGGUGAGCCUUCCAAACCAUAUGCGCUUAAUCUUGUCUUGAUUGCUUCAGAGGUUUGUUCUUUUGUUUUUUACUUGUGUAAAUCCUUUUUCUGAUAAUAAUUUAUGUUUAGCUGUAGCAAGUUUGUAAUUCGUCAUUGAUCAUUUUAUUUUGUUGUAUUGGGUGUAAAAAUUGAGGCUUACAUUAAGAAGAACUAUCUUAGCAAGUUUAGGGGUGAAUUUUCAGAGGGUAAUGUAUACAAGAUAACUUAUUUUAGUGUUUCUGGAAACUAUGGCGCAUUUUGUGCCUCUGAACAUGAGUUCAAGAUAUUCUUCAAUCAUAGAACAAAAGUAGUGCAGGAACAUUCUGAUGUUAUUCCAACUAUUUGUUUAUCACUCAAGAACUCUACUUACAUUGAUGCAACAAUGGGGGAAUCUGAUUUUCUCAUUGGUUAGUUUCCUAUAUUCAUUGUAUUGCAGUACUGGCCUUUAUUUUUGUUAACUUUUGUUUUCAGUAUAUUGGCUGAAAUGUAUUGUUUACUUAGAAGAAAACACAUUUAAGUUAGUUGAUUGGAUUAGUUUAUGCAUAUCUUAUCUUUCCACGUAUGGCUGGACUAAAUCCCAAUUAAUUUCUAUGAAAGGAUAUGUAAAGGAGCUUUAGGGAACCCUAACCUAUAGGAUUCAUUUUCAUUGUACCACUAACUUGGUAACCAACAUAGAGUUAGUUUGUUAGUAGUUACAAGAAAGGAUAGUUAGGCAUAGUAAUAUAAGUAGGGGAUAGUAGUGAUAAUGGGGGUUAUUUGGAUUGCAAGAUUGGGGAAUUCUAGGGAGAGAAGCUAAGUCUCUCAAAAGUAUCAGUAGUUGUGUAACUUGUGUUCAUUUUCUUGAAUAAAAUCAAUUCGUUUUCUUCUUCUUUGUUAUGGAUGAUGGAUGACAAUGAGUAUAAGUUAUGUUGAUUUAUAUGUAAUUUUGCUUCCAUGAGCUUAUAUUGAUUUAUUUAUAGUUUUAUAUUGGAUAUUGGAUUAUAUAGAUUACUCAUGUUCUCUAAAACUGUGCCUACAACCAGUUUUGUCCGCCCCAUUGUGUUCUUAAUUCCCAUUAUUCUGAAACUAAUGUUAACAUUCUCUUCACUGUGACCAUGUGAGACAAAGAGGGGCAUGACAGAUCAAGAGGACGAAAUGGAUGAUUCGGCUUAUUGGAAGGACAUAAUUUCAGAGCUAGCCUGUGCAUGCAAUGUGAAAAAGAAGGGGAGAAGAGGGAAGAAGGCUGGACAAUGUGGUUCGAUAACCUAUAUGAUCAAAAGUCAGGGCAGUAUCAUCCUUUUUCUGAUCAUUUUGAUUCUUGAUUCAUUUUGGCUUCCCCAAGUUCUAGGUUCUUAUUUCCUAUUUAAAAAUUGGUUGUUUGCUCAACUGUUUCUGUUGAAGCCGGAUAAUUCUUGUCUGCCCCUGUUAUAAUCUUUAAUGUUUCUACUUUUCUUUGGGAAUAUAAGGCUUAUUAAACACUAAACUGUUUCAGUUAAGGCAUAUGAGGAUUUCUAUCCUAAUAAGUUUUUGGAACCAAUCUGUUUCUGGGUUAGUCUAAGACUUCUCUGGUUUAUUCCUUGAAUUUAUUAUGCUUGCACACAUAAAUUCUGUUGCUGGAUAUAUUUGGCAUUCAAGUGUCUUCGAUUUUGGGCCUUAAGUUAUGUUGACAACUUAUAGUUCUGACUAGCAAUGCAUAUGACAACAUGUGGGAUCUUUCUUCAUUCUUAGUUCUUUUUAAGGCAUAGCUACACUUUGAUACUAUGCUUAUCUGAACAUGCAUAAUUUUUGGCAUAUUAGUUGAACUUGAGCAUCAUUUAAAUUGUUGAAAAGCUCACACAAUUUUAAGGUGAUGGUAAGUUCAUUUUCUCCAUUAAUCAACUUUAAAAAUGACUUUAUGUUCAGAUUUUGUUUUUCAUAUUCAGAGUUUCAUGAACUCUUUCACCCUUCACAUCAUAUGAAUUAUGCAGUUAAUUAGUAGAUGUUGUCCAUGAUGUGAAAGUUUUAAUUCUAUAAGUUAGCUCUCCCAUAUUUAUUGGAGCUAAUGUUCACUCUUGAGGUCUUUUUCUUAUCUCUUUCAAAUGUUAUAAAAAGAAAAGCACCCUCUUAUGCACUCUUUCCUACCCUGCAGCAAAAUCUGCUAAAUCUCUUUCUUCAUCUAGCUUCUUCAAAUUUAUGACUUGGUUUAUUUACCUACUCAUCUUUUCUUUUUCAUUUUAAGAUGGCACAUAGAUGGUACAAAUAUUUGUCUAUGCUUCAUUCAUCUUUUCUUUUUCAUUUUAAGAUGGCACAUAGAUGGUACAAAUAUUUGUUCUAUGCUUCAUACUUGCUGUUAGCCAGAGAUAUUAAAUCUUUUUAUUGUGAUGAGUAUGGCAAGUUCUUACAGCUACAUCAAUUUAAUUAAUACGGGAACCUCACAUUUACCUUUGAUCUGAAUUAUAUCUGAUUAAUUUCCCUUAUGUGGUUUAAUGCACCGUGUGUUGUUUACCUGAUUGGCACGUUAGUGUCAUAGGAGUGAAUUAAAAAGGGUAUAUUUUCAGAAGUUUAUAGGAAGCACCACUUGUUAUGGGUGUUUUCUUCAUUCUCUUUUAUAAAUUGAUUCAAUUGAAAUAUACUCUAAUGUGGCAUGUUGAGUUAGUACCCAAAUCAGAGGAAAUUGAUUUGUUAAUUGUUUUAUGAUGCUUUCUCUCGAAUCUUGUAACCAAAACUUAUGUUACUGACUGAUAAUUUUAAUCCUAGGCAUGAAUUCUCUUUAACCAGUUUAAGGAGUCAACCUGGUUAGUAGCUGGCUGUUUUGGUUGCUUUAUAAAAGCUUAAAAGGAGUGGAGAAUAGAAAAGGAUUGGAGUGAAGAGGCUCAGUUUCGUGGAUGGUUAUGAGACAGAAGUGCUACAGAGAAAUUUAAGCAGAACUUUUAUGUAGAUGGGGAUGUCAUUAAGAAUGUCACUGAGCAAUGCUCAUGACAAACAAAACGGUACUGCCCACAAAGGACCUGAGGUACUCCCUAUCGUUGUCUUAUGCUUUCAUGCACCAUUGCUUCCUUUAAAUAAAUGUCAACAACUUUGACAUGAUUCAUUUUUAUAAGUAUUGAUUUAUUGGAAUGUGGGAUGCUUUUAAAAUGGUGCUGCUCUUGAAAGUUCUUAAGAGGAUGCAGAUUUCAAAAUUAGUUAACUUUGAUGAAUAGUGAAAAUUACCACCGUUAUUGGAUGCUUAUGAAGAGCUGAAUUCUAUGAUAAGAAAAGAGAAUUCAUUGGCUUCAUAAAGUUUUUGCUGAAAUGCUCACAAGAAAAUGGAUUUAGCUUUGAGGCUUUGCUUGAAUGUUUUACUUCAUGCAAUAAUGAAAUAUGUAACAUGUUCUCUUUUCAAUUUACAUCAUGUGAAAUUGCUUAGAACAUUUAAAAAUGGUGUUGCUUUUGAAAGUCCUUAAGAGGAUGUGAUUUCGUUUCAGCUUUCUAAAAGAGAGAGAAAGAGAGUAGAAUAUCUCAAUGCUCUCUCAACAGUUUGCCUAGCCAAGAUCAAUGUUUUCAUUUCAAAAGUUAGUUACAUUUGUAAAUCUAUUUGAUGAUUAUCAACUUUGAUUACAAGCUCAGUUCAAUUUGUGAUGUGUAGACUCAAUUGUAAUGUUAAUCUUUUUUAGAAAGGUAGAAGCAACAAUCUAUAUCUUGCUUAUGUAAAGCCUUAUGAUUAUACCUUCAAUUUACUCUCAAAUAUGAGUAUUGGUUCAGCUUAUUUUGAGAAGUUCAUUUAAUUGUGUUAUUACUUUGAUGAGCUAUUCUGACUUUCCCUCACACCAAAAAUAAGAUCAAAAUCAAGUGAAGUUGUUGAGCUCGCCUGUGCCAUGUUGUUGACGAGCAAUAUGAAUGACAUGUUGAUAAGCAAGUAGGUUGAGGAAGAGGAAAGGAAGAUGCACCUGAUGUUGAUGUUGAUUAUCCGCUGGAGGUUGAGGAAAAAGUUACUGAAAAGAAGAUGCUUUUUAAAGUUUGUAGGGUUCCUGGUAUAACAUAUAAGGGUUAUCCUUGCUAUGAAGUUCUUUGAAUUUGUUUUGAUCCUGAGAUUGUGUCACGUUUCUUCUCUGAGAUAACAAGUACCAAGUCAACAAUGAUGUUGAUGAAGAACAUUGUUGAUACUGUUGGAUAUGGAGAUAGUAGCAAGUAGCAACCAGUCUGCUGUCUGUAAGUGUGUGAAAAGAAAAUUGAAGGUGGUUGGAAAAGAGCUUACUGAAGAUGCAAAUGGCAAGUUAAGAAAGUCUGAAUCACAGGUGUGAAGAAUUUGGAAAUCAGUACUCAUAAUUUAUCCAGUGGUGAGGAUGGAGUGUUAUCCACAAUUAAUGUCAUAAAGGCAAUUAGGAUAAGCGCAUGUUGUUACAUUUACAUAACAGACAUUAACGUGACAUAUUUUAGAGGUAUCCUAUCUUAAGUCCCUCUAAAAUCAUAGUUUUUUGGUUUAGGUCAUUUUAAACGAUGUAAGGUGACGACAGAAUAAUUUUGUAUUCAGUAUGAUUUUGCAUUUAGUGAUGUAUACCUUAUUUA